AUUUUUGUAUAUUUAACAUUUGAUAUGAAGAGGAAGGAGGAGAUGAAGUCAAUCAGGUUCCUGGCCAUGGAAGAGCGUUUUCUUGUUUAUUGGCAAAGCUGUCAUCACUUAAUUGGUAUCAGAUUCUGACUUGCACAAGUAACAUUC